UACGGAGGGUGCAAGCGUUAUCCGGAUUUACUGGGUUUAAAGGGUGCGUAGGUGGAUAAUUAAGUCAGUGGUGAAAUCUUCAGGCUUAACCUGGAAACUGCCAUUGAUACUAUUUGUCUUGAAUACUUUGGAGGUAAGCGGAAUAUGUCAUGUAGCGGUGAAAUGCUUAGAUAUGACAUAGAACACCAAUUGCGAAGGCAGCUUACUACACAGUAAUUGACGCUGAGGCACGAAAGCGUGGGGAUCAAACAGG
rnacentral:rRNA from 1 species